UGAAUGCUUUUCCUAGUGUUACAGCAGAAACUACUUCCACAUGUAGCCUCAGUUGUAGACAACUGCCCUGCUUUCACUUCAAAAUAUCACAACUACAGAAAAAUCCAUCAGUUUAUAUGCAUCAGAAGCAACUACAGGUAACUCUCAGAAGAACUGCAAUGGAUGGUUAUCUGUAUCAUCUGGGAUAUUAGCCACCAGUAUUGACUAGUUUUAAGUCAAUACUGCUAGGUGCAACUUCAAAAAAGAUAUGUUGAAAUGAAACAUUUGAACUUUUCCUACA